UGAGGAAUUUUGCGCAAUGGGCGCAAUCCUGACGCAGCAACGCCGCGUGGGUGAUGAAGGCCUUCGGGUCGUAAAGCCCUGUCAGGUGGGAAGAAUGUCCCGGGACUGAACAGGUUCCGGGAGUGACGGUACCACCAGAGGAAGCACCGGCUAACUCCGUGCCAGCAGCCGCGGUAAUACGGAGGGUGCAAGCGUAAUUCGGAAUUACUGGGCGUAAAGCGCGUGUAGGCGUGCCUGCAAGUCUGAUGUGAAAGCCCCGGGCUUAACCCGGGAAGUGCAUUGGAAACUGUGGGACUUGAGUACUGUAGAGGAUGGGGGAAUUCCCGGUGUAGAGGUGAAAUUCGUAGAGAUCGGGAGGAAUAUCAGUGGCGAAGGCGCCCAUCUGGACGGUAACUGACGCUGAGACGCGAAAGCGUGGGGAGCAAACA
rnacentral:rRNA from 1 species